GGCCCGUUGGUCAAGCGGUCAAGACACCGCCCUUUCACGGCGGUAACAUGGGUUCGAUUCCCAUACGGGUCA
rnacentral:tRNA from 1 species